GGAGCAUUCCCUGCCAAGCUUGGCGAGGGAUUGAGAGGAAUGGGUGUUUGGUUAUUUAGUGUUGUAGGGCUAGAAAAGGAGAACUGCUGCCCCUCUUGGGCAGAGCUCAGGUCAUUUGGGAUGUUAAGGUUGCUUUCAUUGUGAUUAGCCAUCGUGGAUCUCAGUGGGUUUUGUUAAGAGUGGAACUCCGGUGAUGAAAAGAUCUCCU
rnacentral:lncRNA from 1 species